rnacentral:rRNA from 1 species
AGUGGCGGACGGGUGAGUAACGCGUAAGAAUCUAACUUCAGGACGGGGACAACAGUUGGAAACGACUGCUGAUACCCGAUGUGCCGCAAGGUGAAACCUAAUUGGCCUGGAGAAGAGCUUGCGUCUGAUUAGCUAGUUGGUGGGGUAAAGGCCUACCAAGGCGACGAUCAGUAGCUGGUCUGAGAGGAUGAGCAGCCACACUGGGACUGAGACACGGCCCAGACUCCUACGGGAGGCAGCAGUGGGGAAUUUUCCGCAAUGGGCGAAAGCCUGACGGAGCAACGCCGCGUGAGGGAGGAAGGUCUUUGGAUUGUAAACCUCUUUUCUCAAGGAAGAAGUUCUGACGGUACUUGAGGAAUCAGCCUCGGCUAACUCCGUGCCAGCAGCCGCGGUAAUACGGGGGAGGCAAGCGUUAUCCGGAAUUAUUGGGCGUAAAGCGUCCGCAGGUGGUCAGCCAAGUCUGCCGUCAAAUCAGGUUGCUUAACGACCUAAAGGCGGUGGAAACUGGCAGACUAGAGAGCAGUAGGGGUAGCAGGAAUUCCCAGUGUAGCGGUGAAAUGCGUAGAGAUUGGGAAGAACAUCGGUGGCGAAAGCGUGCUACUGGGCUGUAUCUGACACUCAGGGACGAAAGCUAGGGGAGCGAAAGGGAUUAGAUACCCCUGUAGUCCUAGCCGUAAACGAUGGAUACUAGGCGUGGCUU